GCAGUGAGGAAUAUUGGACAAUGGGUGAAAGCCUGAUCCAGCCAUCCCGCGUGAAGGAUGACGGUCCUAUGGAUUGUAAACUUCUUUUAUAUAGGGAUAAACCUACUCUCGUGAGAGUAGCUGAAGGUACUAUAUGAAUAAGCACCGGCUAACUCCGUGCCAGCAGCCGCGGUAAUACGGAGGGUGCAAGCGUUAUCCGGAUUUAUUGGGUUUAAAGGGUCCGUAGGCGGACUCGUAAGUCAGUGGUGAAAUCUCAUAGCUCAACUAUGAAACUGCCAUUGAUACUGCGGGUCUUGAGUAAAGUAGAAGUGGCUGGAAUAAGUAGUGUAGCGGUGAAAUGCAUAGAUAUUACUUAGAACACCAAUUGCGAAGGCAGGUCACUAUGUUUUAACUGACGCUGAUGGACGAAAGCGUGGGUAGCGAACAGGAUUAGA
rnacentral:rRNA from 1 species